GACGAGCGCUGGCGGCGUGCUUAACACAUGCCAGUCGAACGGAAAGGCCCCUUUGGGGGUACUCGAGUGGCGAACGGGUGAGUAACACGUGAGUAACCUGCCCUUGACUUCGGGAUAACUUCAGGAAACUGGGGCUAAUACCGGAUAGGAAUCCUUGCUGCAUGGUGGGGGUUGGAAAGCUUCGGCGGUUUUGGAUGGACUCGCGGCUUAUCAGCUUGUUGGUGGGGUAGUGGCUUACCAAGGCUUUGACGGGUAGCCGGCCUGAGAGGGCGACCGGCCACAUUGGGACUGAGAUACGGCCCAGACUCCUACGGGAGGCAGCAGUGGGGAAUAUUGCACAAUGGGCGGAAGCCUGAUGCAGCAACGCCGCGUGCGGGAUGACGGCCUUCGGGUUGUAAACCGCUUUCAGCAGGGGCGAAGCUUGUGGUGACGGUACCUGCAGAAGAAGCACCGGCUAACUACGUG
rnacentral:rRNA from 1 species